ACACAUCAAACGUAGACUUUUUGUUUCUAUGUUUUGAAAGUUGAAGGUUGCCGGCGUUUUUCAUGGCCAGCUCCUUUUAAAUGGAUUAGCGAGACUUUGAAGACUUGGCUUCAGUUUGAUAACACCCCCCCAUCUAUGCUGUCGCCAAAGAACUGUUUUGGUCUGGCUUAUAGCUGUCCGGUUUGGACUGUCUUCUCAAGGAGGCAAAAAAAAAAACAUUGAUUUUUUUUGAC
rnacentral:misc_RNA from 1 species